GAGCCCUGCCCGCGGCCCCCGGAGCCCUGCCCGCCCCCUCCGCGCUGACCAGAGUCAGUACACCUCCUACAAACACUUCAACGCCGGUCGGUGAGGCGACCACCAAGAUGAUUAAGGGAGUGCGGCAUCUCCCGUAUGAGGAAGGGCUGAAGGAGCUGAGUCUCUUUAGCUUGAAGGAGACUGGGGGGCGACCUCAUUAAUAUUUACAUUUACAUAUAUAUAUAUGUAAAGGGUGAGUGUCAGGAGGAUGGAGCCAGGCUCUUCUCGGUGACAACCAGUGAUAAGACAAGUGGUAAUGGGUAUAAACUGGAACACAAGAGGUUCCAUUUAAAUUUGAGAAGAAACUUCAUGGUGAGGGUGGCAGAGCCUGGCCCAGGCUGCCCAGGGGGUUGUGGAGUCUCCUUCUGUGCAGACAUUCCAACCCGCCUGGACACCUUCCUGUGUAACCUCAUCUGGGUGUUCCUGCUCCAUGGGGGAUUGCACUGGGUGAGCUUCCCAGGGCCCUUACAACCCCUGACAUUCUGGGGUUCUGUGAAAUGUAGAUAAAAGCGUUUAUUCAUAAAAGCAUAAACAGGCAAUAAAGCUAUAAAUGCUUAUAACAACAUAGUUUCAUUGAAGGACAAGCAAUAGUUGGUGUGUUGAUGUUAAGGCUUCAGCGGGAAGGCAUUUUCUCCCUCAGCCGCAGGUUCAGUCUGUGAGCAGCUUGUGCCCCUGGAGCCUCAGGAGCCGGUGAGCAGGGGAGGCUCCGUCACAGCGCGCUGGGAGAGCUACUGAAUGUUCUUCAGGUUCACAUUCCUUACAACCCCCUCUUUCCUCCUCAGGAUCUAUAGAGAAUUUCCCCUUUUAAGUCUUCUGGGAGCUGGAGACAGAUCUUACCUUGAAAAUCACUCUAAUGUUUUUAACCAGGAGAUAGUUGUGAUUAACUAAACUGAGGUUUCUCUUCCUUCGGUGCACCCAUGUGUGUUCUUAACUAGUUUGUAAACAAAAAUUACUGGAGGCUAUACAAGCUCUCUUCCUCCCCCUAGUGACUACUAACGUUUCAGAGAGAGAUUUUUUCAUCAGACCUUGUCUUGCAUAUUGAUCUGUACAUUAACACAUGCACUACAAAUAUCAAACCAAGAUAAAUACGUGUAGCUCACUACUGGAUCUGGGUUGAGACCAGACACAGCAGUAACCGCUGUGAGCCUGAGGCAGCGGAACCUCAGCUUUUUUCUGCUAAGCGUAUUGUGACCGUUCCAUUAUAAGCUGCAUUUGUCUGCUGUACCUGAGUAGGAUAUUUCUGCCAAUGCGUUGGAGGCUUCUGCUUGCCUGUGUUUGUGCUGGUGUGCCGGCAUCAUAGGGACUUACAACUGUCACCGCUCCGUGUCUUCUCGCAGGCUGACGUACCUGCUUAGUCAAUGACUUGUCUAAUGCCAGGUAAAGAAAUCAGGUGCGGGCUCCAGCAGGAUUGUAGUAAAUGCAGAAAAAUCUCUUUAAUGACACAUCAGAAAGCUGAGUGUUUGUUGCUCCCAGCUUUCAUUGCGGAGAUCUGUAACACGAAGGAAAGAUCAGGUGUGUGACUAAAGCUGGCUGGAUGUCUUCGUGUAUACGCAGAACCAUGCACACCAGACUGGUAACUGCACUGUUCUCACUCGCAACUGGCCGCAAUAUAGCAGAGCAUGUCAUUCAUGCAACAGACUGUUAAUUCAAGUGCUAACUCCAUUGCUUUUAUUAAAUGCUGGAUUGACCUAUUCAGUAUGUUCCACUCUCCAGACAAGUUUUCAUUGCAGAACGUCCCCAGCUGUCAUGUCCCUCCAGAGGUGUGUGUGGGUAGAUGACUCAGAUUCAUGGUCCCCUUAGAAAAGAGUAUAUGGGUUACUCAAGGACCAUAUACAAACAAAUCCCAACACCUUUUAUUUUGCAGCUUGGCCCAAUUAGCAGAUGAUUCCACGGCUGCAGGAAGAUUUACACUACUUAAGCCAAAUUGGUGAACAGUUUAACAGCAAAAGGAUUUUCACAAAGGAGUUUUGUGGCUGUAAGCCUUAGGUUAUACUGCUCAUAGAGGGAGAGCCAAAGAAAUAGGGAUAUAGGAAAGGAAAAGAGAAGGAAAGAAAGAGAACGAAAGGUCAGCCCGCAGCCUUUGUCUGCGGCGCCUGGUCUGAUGUUGGGAUGUAAAUCGCGAUUCACCUUCUCCUGAGUGCCCCAUUUACUGCUGCUGGACAUGAUGUCCAUACAGGAUUGUUUUGGGUCUGACAACGGCCCAUCACUGCGGGAUGAGCUGUUGUUGCCAUAAUGUCUGAGACAUAAUUCUGUUGAGUCUCUGGCACAGGAGGCAGAUGGUGCUUGUCUGAAAAGCCCCCAGUUUCAGUCACUACAAGUGUUCAUGGUUUGUUCAACCUGAACCUUCUCUCAUCCUAAGGGGAACUGUCAACUGACAAUCUUGGUGAGAUGUGUUACUUGAAAAAUCGUGUCAUAGGUGAAAUCAAGUGCUUCCUCUUAUGAAAUCUGCGUAUAUAAGCAAAUUAAAGGUAUCUGGACAAAACAAAACAAGAUCCUUAAGAGACCCUCCUGUCUCAGUCAUUCUGGCCGGGGUCUGAGUGGCUGGGACGUGAGGGUGGGCAGGAUCAGGGCAGUGAGCAGCAGGGACGCACCACAGGUCACUCAUCCUUUCUUCUCAGGGCAGCCCCACACUGUGAUCAUCUGCAGUGCUCAAAAUCCUGUGAUUUGACAGCACAAAUUCUUCUAUCAUGGAAUAGUUCCCACAUCUGGUAUCUUCUCAGCCAGGAACAAGAUGGAUUUAGGGAGGGGAUUGCAGAUGUAAAGCGUUACCCGCAGGGUGUGCAAAGAAGAUGGCUCAGAGCCAUGAACUGGUUGAAAACGGGAGUCCCCGGUCUGCAGUUGGUGUCGCUAAAUGCUCGAGCCAACUUUCCUUUCCAUAGUCAGGCCCACCUGGGAGCUGGCUGAAUGCAUGAACUGGCUUUAAAGAACACGUGAAUUUAUCUGAGUCUCCUCUGGAUUUUUCUCCCCGAUAGCUUUAUGCUACCAGAUUUGUUGCAUUAAUAUGUUACUUACAUAUUUCCCUGAAGACCCACCUCUAAAGCCUCUUGUCAUGUUACUUACCUGACACAUCCAAUGCCUAUAAAUCUCAGUAACAGUGUGCAUCUUUGUACAGCACAAACAUGCACGUGUGUGUAUGCACAUAAAUGUAUGUAAUUUGGGUCGAAUCUUUAUUUGCUAUAUGUAGGUAUGAUAACACAACUUGCAGAAAAACACAACCUACCAAUGAAAACAAGUUUCAGCUCUGGCCGUGGAUGUUUUACCCAGACGAGUGUUGAUUUUUCACCGUUACCACCGGCGUCCUUCAGAACUCACAACGAAUAGUGUGUAAACUACUGAACAAGACCUGUGAGCGUGUUCAUUGUCUGCACAAGCUCUGACACUGUGUCGGUGCGGGAUUUGCUGCUCUCAUUGCCCACGCCUGCACUCUGUCUGAUCAUGGCUUUAGGUGAGUGUCUCUGGUCUGCCAUUGCUGGUUUUGUGCUGAUCUUCUUUCUGUCUCCGUUCACUGGAAUUACAUCCUCCAUUCAGCCGCUGCAGGUCUGCACAGCCGGUCUUUUCAAGACAGCCGGUUUAAGCGUAUUCUAUUCAAAAGAAAGAAGUCUUUGAGCACUCUGAGUUUACAGCUCUGGUCCGAAAGGGCACAAGUUAAUACAGGUGGAUCAACGUUAUGUAAAAAACAAAAUGUGGCUACUGUCGUUUAUCUGCUACAAUUUCUGUAGCAUUUUUAGACAAUUUUAGAAGUAGACUCUUGUAAGGAAUCCAGGAUCUUGUGCUUACCUGCGUAUUGCUCCUUCUGCACAUUGUCUUCGAUUAAUGCUGACCUGAGGUAUUUAUCUGCAGUACAACACGGUGUAGAUACUAACUCAGGUCUGGAAGCCAUCUCAGGAGAUGGAUUAGCUCAUUAUUACAUCAAAAAUAGAAGGAAUGCUACUUCCUUGUUUCUUGUGCUUAUGUAAUAAGGCACAUAUGUGGUAGUAACAGAGUUUGUGACCCCUGUACUUCAUAUGCAUAUAGCAGUGUAAAAAUAAGUUAUUAAAAUUAAACUGGCUUUCAGGUUUUCUAUUUUAAUUACUUUUCCAACUUGACUCUUUGUGUGGAGCCCGACCCCACUCACUGUCCCGCGACGGGGGACUCCAGACAAGGGGACGCAGACGCGGGGGCGGCUGCACAGCGGAACUCAGCAGACUUGAGAACCGCUCAGCUGGGUGAGGAUCAGACGCGUACAAAGCAACUUUGCUUUUUAAAUGGCGAGGAUGACGUGCUUUGGUUUGGAAGACAUCAGAUUUGGGAUGUUAAGGAAGCUGUAACUACUUUGGUGUUUCCUUCUCCCCGCAGUCGCAUUUCUGGUUCUGUCUGCAGAGUUGUGCUCCUCUCCCGCACCAGAUAUUCUUAUGCCAACGAGCACGGAACGUUUGUGAGUGUGACCUGCUGUGCGGUUAGAAGGAAGAAAGAUGUGUGAGCUGCAGCAGCAGGAAGGCUGCAGCCGUGUAAGCCCGGGGUGCAAACGGCACGAAACGGGCUGCAGCGGCGGAGCCCUCGGUCCCGGGCCGUCCCGGGCAGGCGCAGCCCGAGCGCUCCCGGCCCCGCUGCCGCUGACCCGCCGGGGCCGGGGCCGCGCUGCGGGCGGACAGCACCGCUCUGCGGCCGCCGGCGGCUUCGGGCCGGGGGGGGGGGCGGAGCCCGGUGGCGGGCGCGGACGGGAUUGGCUCCUGCGCGGUAUGGGCGGGGCCACGCUGCAGAAGCGCGCGGGCCAAGGAGCGUGCCACCGGUGCGGCGGCGGGAGCAGCGCGCGAGGAGCGGCGGGGCCGGCGCACCUGACUGAAUGGAGGAGCAAGUGGACGGGAAGUUCCUGCGCCACACACAGAUCACAUUUAUUACUCUUGGCUUUAGAGAUGUGGAGAACCAAACCAUUCGCAUGGUGCCUUGAAGCAGCCUGUGCUCAUGCGCUUCUCCCAGGGAGAAGGCGGAAUGGCAGUGACUGGCCACGUUGAGCCACAGGGUGCACACUCUGCAGCUGUCAAGCCCAGCUCUGCGUCAGCUCACACCUGCGAUUUUGCACUGCACACGCAAAUUUGAGUUGUCGCUGGUUGUUGCAGCGUUUGGCUUUGGUGAGGACAGCGUGUGUUUGUCAGCAGUUGGUGUAGGUGGAAUCUUCAGGAGAAAGCGAUAUUUCCGUGCCAGAACUGGUUGGUGUUUGCAUGGUAUUGUGGCGGUUGUUCCCGCAGGCAGUCAGUGCUGGAGUGUUAUUGCAGAAAAGGGGAUUUUGGAGGCUUGUCUGUGAGAUGCACGAGAGGCAGCCGUUGAAAGCGAAAGGCUGAGAUUUGGAGGGUUUGUGGGUGGGUUUUGGGCGGUUGUCAGCUGAAGAGUUGGCUGUUUGCAGGUGAGGUGUAGGGCAGAGGGUGAAGCUGACUUUGCCUGGGCGGCGCAACUGGCUGGGUGUGCAGAGCUGAGGAGAGCGGGCUGCUGCGGGUGACCCUAAAGCUGGAGAAUCGGCCGGCAGCUCCAGAGGCUCCCGCUGCCGGGCAGGGCCGUGCAGGGCAGUGCCCUGGGGCACAGCGACGUGACCUCCGCAAGGACCAAAGAGCAGGUGAGGGCCGUGGGCAUUUGUACUGAGCUGUGACAUCUCUGACCCGUGACAUUGGGGUCCAGCAAGGACCAAAGAGCAGGUGAGGACCGUGGGCAUUUGUACUGAGCUGUGACAUCUCUGACCCGUGACAUUGGGGUCCAGCAAGGACCAAAGAGCAGGUGAGGACCGUGGGCAUUUGUACUGAGCUGUGACAUCUCUGACCCGUGACACUGGGGUCCAGCAAGGACCAAAGAGCCGGUGAGGACCGUGGGCGUUUGUACUGAGCUGUGACAUCUCUGACCCGUGACAUUGGGGUCCAGCAAGUACCAAAGAGCCGGUGAGGACCGUGGGCGUUUGUACUGAGCUGUGACAUCUCUAACCCGUGACACUGGGGUCCAGCAAGUACCAAAGAGCAGGUGAGGACCGUGGGCGUUUGUACUGAGCUGUGACAUCUCUAACCGGUGACAUUGGGGUCCAGCAAGGACCAAAGAGCAGGUGAGGACCGUGGGCGUUUGUACUGAGCUGUGACAUCUCUAACCGGUGACAUUGGGGUCCAGCAAGGACCAAAGAGCAGGUGAGGACCGUGGGCGUUUGUACUGAGCUGUGACAUCUCUAACCCGUGACACUGGGGUCCAGCAAGGACCAAAGAGCAGGUGAGGACCGUGGGCGUUUGUACUGAGCUGUGACAUCUCUAACCGGUGACAUUGGGGUCCAGCAAGGACCAAAGAGCAGGUGAGGACCGUGGGCAUUUGUACUGAGCUGUGACAUCUCUAACCCGUGACACUGGGGUCCAGCAAGGACCAAAGAGCAGGUGAGGACCGUGGGCGUUUGUACUGAGCUGUGACAUCUCUAACCGGUGACAUUGGGGUCCAGCAAGGACCAAAGAGCAGGUGAGGACCGUGGGCGUUUGUACUGAGCUGUGACAUCUCUAAGGCGUGUGCGAGGGGCUGGGGCCAAGGCAAGGUGGGCGCGCUGUGGGGUGUGGGGAGGUGUCAGCCCCCAGACUUGUCCCCUGUCUGACUGUAGUGCCCGUGGGCUGCUGUAGCUCAGUCCUUCGUGUGUUUCUCUUCAGGUGGAGCAGCGUGCGAAGGAAAAAGGAAGCAGAGAAGAUGGUGAGCCUGCGAGGAAGAGUGUAGCGAGUCGGGCGUGGACUCACGGUGAGGUGCCGUGAGAGACAUUAAUUACAAACUCAGGGGAGCAGCGUGCAAAGGAAAAGCAAGGAAGGAGGUGAACCUGUGAGGCAGAGUGAUGGAUACAGAGGGUUGGAGCGCACCUGCCGGUCAGGAGGGAUCAGGGAAGAAGACACCGGUGGUGGAACCGCAGGUCAGGAGAGCUCAAGGAGGGAGAAAGGUGACUGUGGCCAUAUGGGUUUUUCUAGCUCACACACCAAUGAAAACAGUUUGGAUAAUAAAAGAAAUGUAUGCAAAACCCAUAAGUAAAGGCAGAGAAUGUUUAUAUGCGAUGUAUGGGAUAGACCUGAAGGUGUAUUUAUUCCUACGACAAAGGAGAAUUCGCAAUGGUAAUUAACUGAGGAUGUGAAUUUCCAGAUUGCAUUGGCAACAUACACAGGGAACAUAUCAGUUUAUUACCCUCAACAUAAAGUGUGGGCUGAAACUGGUAAUUUACCGUUGUGCAGCAAACGCUGCUGUCAGCAACGACCAGUAAGCGACAAGACUGUAAUUACUGAUGGCUCUGGUCGCUCACGUGAGUUGUAAUGACGUGGCUGAACUCAGAUACCCAGUGCUGCAAACACAAGGUAGAGAAAGAGACCAAGGGUCCAACAAGUUCUGGAGCUGACAGCUGUUGGGAUCGCUGUGAGGUGUUCUGCAACAAACCUUGGAAUGUUGGAACUGGCUCGUAUUAUGCAGCUGGCGUACUUAACCACCUGGAAGCUUCUUUUCUUAAGGAAGAGGAUAAUCCUCUUUCGAUGGCUGAAUUGAGAAUGCUAUGGUUUCUAAUAAAUCACAGACAUCAUGGUUUUUAUGCAACGCACACCCGCUCUCGCACGGCCCUUCCAGGACCUCUUGCGGAAGGCAAUAGGAGGGCCGAUGCACCAGCUGUGCUGCUCACUGUGCCUGAAGCCUUGGAGCAAGCUAAAUGAUCACAUGAAUCCUUUCACCAGAGUGCAAAGGCGUUAAAACGACAAUUUCAAAUGACAGUGGAUCAGGCCAGGAGCGUUCUUAUGUCCUGCCCUGAUUGCCAGCAGUCGGCACCCGUGCCGUGCACAGAGGGUGUGAAUGCAGGAGGGAUUGCUGCCAGUGAAGUACGGCCAGCUGGGGUAACGCGUUGUUCUGAAUGGGGUAAAUACGUACGUGUUUCUGUACGCGCUCAUUCCGGAUUUCUCGUUGCUGCUGCACGCUGGUGAAAGAGCACGAGACGUCUGUGACGUUGGUUGACAUGUUCACUGUUUGAGGAGUUCCACGAUAUGUAAAACCAGAGGAAAGCAGAACGCACCCUGGAUUAGAGGAGCGAUCCCCGAGUGCCCAGCGCGCUGUAAUAGAAGUGCCUGCUGUUUAACACUUUCAAAACAGUGAUAGCGAGUCUGUUUGCCGACUUUCCGGUAUCAUGUUCUGGUGACGAGGAUGGGAUGAUCUGCCUGACCUGCCGUGGUCCCCAGGGUCUCUGGGACCUUGUGCCGGCACCGGGGAGUUCCCAGAAGGGACCACGGAUCCUGGGACCAGCUCGGACGCGGGUGAAACCCCAUCAGUGAGAUGAGGCGCUUUCACUGUCUGGUUGGGCUGGCACGCUGCCUGCGCGAGACGUGGGCGACACGGCGCGUGGGGUCUGCGCGUUCGCGUCUGCGCGUUUGGGUAAACCGGGGAACUUCAAAAGAAAUAAAAAAUUAAAGAGGAAAAUGAGAAAACUAUAAAUAAAAGAAAACACGAGGGAACAGUAAUUUGGUAAAGGUACCUGUAGUGAUUUUGCUGUUUUUGCCUUAGCGAUUGUAGGAUUGUGUCUUCAGUGAAAUGUUGUUGUUGUUACUUGUGUCUUGGGUGAUUUUAUACUCCAGUACUUACAGUUCUCCAAUUGUCUGUUACUGUGAUUGUGAAACAGGUGGUGGUACAAUCGACAGGAGGGAUUUGGAAGAAAUUCCCCCCGGUUGUAUUUUGUGACACUGGAAAAGGAUCGUUUGACUCGCUGGGGAACAGCAACCAGGGGAAUCUGAUUGAAUAUUGUAAUUAAUGGUGGCCACUGUAAAUAAUGUUAACAUGCUGCACAGGUCUAGGUGGGUAUACUUUGAGAUGUGUAGUAUAGUACCGCACUACAUGUAAUAUAUAAUAAGAUGUAUAUUUUAAAUCACAUAUUGCUUAUUACAUAAUGUGUAUUACACAAUACAUAAUGUUACAUAUGCAUUGUAUUUAUCCCCAUCAGAUCCAUUUGUUUUGAAAAAGGAUAAUCAGAAGUUGAAACCAGUAAAAGGUUUGUUGAAGAGCAGCUAUUGGUGUAGAGUACACAGAGCACACGGGAUCAGAACUGUCCCUCGGUCGGUCCAGGGUGGCAUCCUGAUGUCCUUACAUCGGGGACAGGCUGCAUUGGUAUGGACAGUGCAUUUUAUAUAGGAUUAGACGCGCUGUGCCUAAAGCUGUAAAUACGCCAAAACCUUCUGAGAUUAAACAGGAUCGUGAGGAGUCUCCCACUGAGUUUUUACAGCGUCUUAAACCGACAGCUCAGAAAUAUAUUAAUAUAGGUCCUGACUUGGAGAACAGAGAAAUAGAAUUCUUAGUUGACUGGGUGCUCAUUAUUCAGUGUUAAACACUAUGCAGGGAAUAUUAAGUAGCGAUUCUGUAGCAGUUAUGGGUGCCACAAAAACUGCAAAACACGGCCCUUUAACCCGCUGCUUAGAAUGUUUGUAUGUGGAGCGUGGUACUUAUUGAUUGUGUGCCGUGUGUCUUCUCUUGUGCACAACGAAUGGUUGACAGAAGCUUUAGUGGUGCAGUGGCUGUGCAGUUACACGCUGCUAUGGCUGCAAUUGUUAAACAAAGAAGGGGAGAUGUGGCCGGGUUGUGACAUCAGUUGUGAGAAACUGCAAGAGUCACAGCGUGAGAACAAGCGCUGGUGGAACAACACAAGCAGCAAGGACUGUGUGGGACAUGAACUGUCAGGGACAGAGGGACUGAUACGGGAUCGGUACAUCAGGGACAGGGACUGAUACGGGAUCGGUACAUCAGGGACAGGGAUUGAUACGGGAUCGGUACAUCAGGGACAGAGGGAUUGAUACGGGAUUGGGACAUCAGGGACAGGGAUUGAUACGGGAUUGGUACAUCAGGGACAGGGGGAUUGAUACGGGAUUGGUACAUCGGGAACAGAGGGAUUGAUACGGGAUCGGUACAUCAGGGACAGAGGGAUUGAUACGGGAUCGGUACAUCGGGAACAGAGGGAUUGAUACGGGAUUGGUACAUCAGGGACAGGGAUUGAUAUGGGAUCGGUACAUCAGGGACAGAGGGAUUGAUACGGGAUUGGUACAUCGGGAACAGAGGGAUUGAUACGGGAUUGGUACAUCAGGGACAAAGGGAUUGAUAAACAGGGACAGGGGUUGAUACGGGAUUGGUACAUGAGGGACAGAGGUUCGUGAUGUUUCAAAUGCAAACCUGAGUUUGUAUUAAAUGUCUCUUCGCAUCUCAAAGAGUGUCUGUGCCUCACUUGCUACACCCCUUUAUCUGUUUCCCAAAUUGCGAUUUAAACUGUAUUUACCAUUGUAAAAAUAAAGCUUUCCCCCCUUAAUUUUUGUCACAUAUUGUAAUUAGAAUUAAUAGAGAUAUUGAAGCCCGUCCUAGCUGAACUGGAGAAAAGACAGCAGCCAUGUGUAUUUUUAAAUAAAGAGUAAAUCAAGUCUGCUAGCUCGUUA